rfam:Schistosoma rodhaini strain Burundi genome assembly, scaffold: SROB_scaffold0018481
AUCCAACUGACGAGUCCCAAAUAGGACAAAACGCGUGUCCUGGAU